rnacentral:lncRNA from 1 species
CUCACAUCCCCAGGAUGGGCUGUGCAGCCGACCUUAACCCCGAAGCAGAGAGCUAGCUCUUCUUCGGUGUACCUCCAAGCUGGCAUCAGUUUUUCACUGGUGGACUGCACAUGCAUGGUUGGAGGGCCCCCAAGGGAUUGACCAGUGGGUAUUGCCUACCACCUCUUGGUGUGUCAGCCAGCUGUAGAAGCAGCUGUGGAUGCCGGGUUUGUGCUUCACUUCUCAACCUGGGCAGAUUCUGAGGUAAGUGUGUGCAUAACACAGGAGCCACGAGAAAGCACACGGGAGCCCAAAACAGAAAAGGGACAGUAGUGAGUGACCCCUCUCGGGUCGUUCACACCUGCCCUACUCACCAUGGCCCGGACAACCUGCUCCCCAGCAUCUCAGCAUCCUGAGACUGAUGGCAGAACACUGUCUUCAAGCACAAGUCAUGUUUUCCAUGAAGGCCAAGUUCUCCUGUCUGAAGAUCUCUCGGUUCCUGGAAGUCUAUUCCUGAACAGCAGAGAGCUUUGGGACAAUCUGCCCAGAGUGGCACCACUGCAGUGACCUAGGUCCUCCCACGUCAAUCUUCAAUCAAGAAAACAUACUACAGGCUUCUCCACAGGCCAAUCUGGGUCUCUCUGCAUAGCACUGUCUGUGCUGAAACUCUCUCCGUAUUCCUGGCUGACCUUGAACUCGGAGAACGACCUGCCUCUGCCUCCUGAGUGCUGAAAUCGAAAGCAGGUUCUGCCACCACCCAGCUUAGGAUGCCUGGUUUUAAAGCCCAAGGUCAGCACCUGGCCAGCCGAUCCCUGUCAUUCAGGCAACACUCAGCACGAAUUCCAGGAAGAGGUCCACCUCCACUGAGGAACCUUAGAGUCUGAACCUCCUCUGCAACGCUCAUCCCAGGGCAAGAAGAGCUCACCGAUUGAUCCCGAUCCAGCCCUGCCUCUAACUCCCUGAGGUCCUGGGUGGGCUUAUUCCCAGGUGAUGGUGUGUCUGUUUAAUAGAGCCCUACCAGCAGGAGAGAGAUCGAGCGGUAGAAUGUGACAGCCCAGUGACAACUGCAGACUCCACCUCCCUCCAUGUGCAAGGCUACAAACUUCCUUAAAAUAUCAGGAAGUUUGUGGAGGCAGAAGCCAUGGAUACAGGACUUGUCUCUUGCCUUCAGGAGCAAAGGGACCCAAGGCUCAUGUUGAAAGAUGUCCCUAGGGAACCAUGUGGCCUGAUUGCAGGACAGGGUUAUGCAGAAGCCCCACAUAGGAGACAUACUGUGGUCAGUGGCAUGACAUUGACAGAGAAGAAAGGAAAACACCUUCGAGGUCCUUUUAUGAAACUACUGGUGACCCCAGAGCCAGUCAGCACACCUAGGGGCCUCCCUUACCCAUGGGCUUUCUACAGGUGGGACCUGACAACACAAGCAAGCACUUUCCUCCAAUUUUAGGGUCAAGGCCAUGUGCUCUCUCUCUCUCUCUC